rnacentral:rRNA from 1 species
UCAGAGGGGGGUAGAAUUNCACGUGUAGCAGUGAAAUGCGUAGAGAUGUGGAGGAAUACCGAUGGCGAAGGCAGCCCCCUGGGAUAGCACUGACGUUCAUGCCCGAAAGCGUGGGUAGCAAACAGGAUUAGAUACCCUGGUAGUNCACGCCCUAAACGAUGUCGAUUAGCUGUUGGGCAACUUGAUUGCUUGGUAGNGAAGCUAACGCGUGAAAUCGACCGCCUGGGGAGUACGGUCGCAAGAUUAAAACUCAAAGGAAUUGACGGGGACCCGCACAAGCGGUGGAUGAUGUGGAUUAAUUNGAUGCAACGCGAAGAACCUUACCUGGUCUUGACAUGUACGGAACCUUCCGGAGACGGAAGGGUGCCUUCGGGAGCCGUAACACAGGUGCUGCAUGGCUGUCGUCAGCUCGUGUCGUGAGAUGUUGGGUUUAGUCCCGCAACGAGCGCAACCCUUGUCAUUAGUUGCCAUCAUUUGGUUGGGCACUNUAAUGAGACUGCCGGUGACAAGCCGGAGGAAGGUGGGGAUGACGUCAAGUCCUCAUGGCCCUUAUGACCAGGGCUUCACACGUCAUACAAUGGUCGGUACAGAGGGUAGCCAAGCCGCGAGGUGGAGCCAAUCCCAAAAAACCGAUCGUAGUCCGGAUUGCACUCUGCAACUCGAGUGCAUGAAGUCGGAAUCGCUAGUAAUCNC